CAGACCGGCAGGUUGUGGGGCUCCGACUCCACAACAGCGUCUGGGGUGAAUGUUUACAGCAGAAGCCCCAGUGGGUGUGUGCUGUAGGGUGCUCUUUCAGUUUAGCCGUCUGUAGGCAACUUGUGUUACACAGCUCAAUUAGACCCCCUGCCUUAUCGCAACGACAGAGGGCUUUCGGUAUCCCAGGGUUUCUUGCCUUGGUGUACCGGAAGAAUCAGAUCACACUUGGGCUUGGAGAAUGAGUGCAAGGUUUUAUUGAAUGGAAGUAGCUCUCAGAAGAUGGGAGAGCCAGAAGGGAGAUGGAAUGGGAAGGUGUUUUUUUCCUGGAGUCGGACUGCUCAGCAGCUGGACUCUCCUCCGACUGCCCAGGCCAAACUCCACAUCGUUCUGCAGGUUGAUGGCCUGCCGGCGUGCCCCAGCGUGCCGUUGUCUGCUGGUGCUUGUCAGUGUGCUCUUCCGCCAGUGUGUUCCUCUUGACAUCCAGCCACCUGUGAGUUCCUCCACCAAUGUGUUCCUCUCGACGUCCAGCGGCUUGUGUCUCUGCCUGCGAGGGUCUCAGAGUUUUUAUAGGUACAGGAUGGGGGCAUGAUGGGCCAGGGUGGUCUUGGGAAAUGCAGCAUUUGAGCAGGAAACCAGAAAUGCCUGUCCUCACCUAGGUCAGUUCGGCACAGGUCCGGGGGUGGAGCCCUAGCUAGGGACCAUGCCCUUCCCGUACCAGCACUUCCCCAUCCUCCCAUAUCACUAGCAAGGAUUAGUUUUGUUUUUCUCUUCUUUUCUCUUCCCCUCCCCAACCCUGACUUUUUUUUUUCCAGAUAAAGAAGGGGACAAGAAAGGAAAUAUAGUGAGCCCCAGAGGAAAAAAGCCAAGAUAUCUCCCCUCCCCUUAGCUCCCUCCAUGGCUCACACUUUAAAGCCAUAGUUUUCAAAAUCACCUGCAGAACAUGUCAAAACUCGCUAGGCCCCCAUCCCCAGGGCUUCUGAUCCUGUGGGGCUGGAGUGGAGCCCAAUAAUUUGCAUUUCUAACAAGUCCCUAGCUGCUGCUCCUGCUGCUCUAAGCCAAGCUUUAAAGAACAGCUACUCUAAAAGGGAGCUGGUGAAAACCACACCAAAGGUCCCCAGCACCAGAACGCGAGGCUGGGAGGUCUUGAGCUUGGGUGAGUGAACCAGCACCAAGUGAAGUAAAGGAGAAUUUGGCUGGAUUUCAGCUUUCCUAUAUCAUCACAAAAUAAAUGUUUUAAAUUGGUGGAUUGGAUUUCUUUUUAGUUGAAGAUGAUAAACAUUUCUUAAGCAUCUGCUAAGUGUUAGUCCCUGUUCUAAGUUCUCUAUCUUAAUUCUUUUUUGUUUGUUUGUUUUGAGACAGAGUUUCACUCUUGUUGCCCAGGCUGGAGUGCAAUGGUACAAUCUGGGCUCACUCCAACCUCCGCCUCCCAGGUUCAAGCGAUUCUCCUGCCUCAGCCUCCCAAGUAGCUGGGAUUACAGAUGUGCACCACCAUGCCUGGCUAAUUUUGUAUUUUUAGUAGAGACAGGAUUUCACCAUGUUGGCCAGGCUGGUCUCGAACUCCUGACCUCAAGUGAUCCACCCACCUCAGCCUCCCAAAGUGCUGGGAUUACAGGCAUGAGCCACCAAGCCUGGCCUAAUCUAAUCUUAAUUCUUAUAGCAACAACUUUGUAAGGAAGUAUUAUUACCAGUUUUACAGAAGAAGAAAUAGUUUAAUUAACUGAGAAGAAGAAAUAGUUUAAUUAACUGAGAUUUUUUUUUUUUUUUUUUUUUUUUGAGACGGAGCCUCAUUCUGUUGCCCAGGCUGGAGUGCAGUGACACGAUCUCGGCUCACUGCAACCUCCACCUCCCGGGUUCAGGCGAUUCUCC
rnacentral:lncRNA from 10 species